rnacentral:tRNA from 1 species
GGAAAGGUGGCUGAGUGGCCGAAAGCAUUGGUUUGCUAAAUCAACAUACAUUUAUAUGUAUCAUGGGUUCGAAUCCCAUCCCUUCCA